rnacentral:lncRNA from 1 species
AAUCAAAUAAAAUCUAUCCUAUUAGAGUUAGGUCAAGUUGAAUACCCGACCACGUAGAACAAAUUGCCACCUCUAUCUAAUAACCAAAAUAUUAUUUAUAAUAUUAAGUUUAACCAAAAUAAAAAGGCCUUCCUUAAGUAAGAAGUUUUCUCAAACAUCAUGAGAGAGAUAUCCCCAGUCAUGUCACUGAGAGGAGCAUGUGAAAUAAAUAGGGGUGGCAAUCGGAUCG